GUUGUUGUAGCUCAGUGGUAGAGUGCCUGCUUUGUAUGUAUGAUGUCCUGGGUUCGACCCCGGCUUCUCCC